GCUGUAGCUCUGUGGUAGAACACCUGCUUCGCACGGAGAAGGUCUGAAGUUCAAUCCCCAGCAUCUCCA